CUCGGGGGCGGCCCGCGCUGAGGGGGCCGUGAUAUGAAGUACAACUGUGAGUCUGUAGUCCAAAUGUGAAGAUGAAUGCCUGAUGUUGUAGCAGUUAAGAGCAACCUCCAUACUGUUGUGUGAAUUUAUGUAACUGUAUGUUUGUCUGCUAGGUUUCUAUGACCAAAGACUGGGCCUCUUAGUUAUGCAUUUAGUUCCCUAGAGAAUAUUAUUUCUUCAACUGAUCAGAAGAUGCACAAAUAUUUGAGCAAAAAACCACCUCUAUAGUCACUCCUUAUUUGUGGUGGGAAGCCAUGCUGAAGUAAGGAAGCCUUACAGAGAUGAUUGGAGACGUUUCCUUAGUCACAUUUUUUUCUGGUUUUAUACCAGUAUUUUAGCAGUAAGGCUACAGAUAUGUUUUUUAAGAACUAUAUAGUGAUUUUUUUAUUCUGAGUAACAGAUCGUAGAACUUGACCUAACAAGAUACAUCUUAUCCUCUUCAGUCAUUAAUACGUACUUGAGAGAGAAGUGAAAUGUUGAUGUUCACAUGCCUUCUUUAAAAAAACACCCACGGUUUUCAUAUAAAGUGGUUUACACAACAAAGCCAAUUGCAAAUUAUUUACUCUUCAUUUUAAGGCCUUGACAUAUCAUUGCGACUGAGUCUUCUGUUCAUUAGAUACUGAGACAAGCCUUACAUUUUUCCAUGUGUCAGUUACAAAAACGAUCCUCCCUUCCAUUUUUCUUAACGCCCUACUAAAAGCUUGAAAAUGUUAAAAAUAUGAUUAAAGACAUUCCCUAUCUCUGCAUUAUCUUAUUAUUUUAAUUACUGUCAUUUAUUACCACCAUCAUUUAUUACUGAUGAUUUACUUUAGAAGAAGUCUUGAAGGGUUAUUCUGUCCCUGCUGCAUAUACCUCACUGAAGUUGCAUUUUUGUCUGAGAUACAGUAACUUACAUGCUAAUCAACUGUCAAGUCAGAAACAGAUGAGGAAAACAGCAGGAGCAGUAAGGGUACAAGUUGUAGCAAAGCACAGCAAAGAAGUCGGGAGAAACCACAUUGACACUCCUAUCGUCACUGGGUUUCCCAAAUCCACUAGAGAAGGAAGGCCGAAAAUUGUCAGUUUAGACAAGGCGUUUCAAAGAUCCAAUUUAUUUAUUAUAAAAUUAAGCUGUGCAGUUAGCUUGUUUUCAAGUUAGUAACAACCUAGCCAUUGCUUAUCACUUGUAUAUGGAGUUAGACUUUAAUUUUCCGUUUGAAUUACAAUCGCUUGGAAAGAAUUGACUCUUUGUAUUACUGUGCUCUGUUAAUGGACAAUCCAGCAAGCACGUUGCUGAAAAGCACCCUUACUUUGAUAAAGGGAAAUCAGAAUAUAAUGAAUGCAUAUAUAGAUUCUUUAUCUAGGUUAUUUUACUAUUCAUAUCUGGAGUUGUCCAAAUGGUAGUCAUGGGCAAGUCUCUCCAGCCACCAUCUUUUCUACUGUGGUAUUGUACUGAGAUUAGAAAGAAGGGAGAGAGGGAAAUACUGUUCCUACCAGCCUGUAAUGUAAUGUAAAGCUGUUGAAGCGGUAAAGAAACACCUAGGCUUUGGUCCUAUGAGUCAUUUCUGCACCUUUGCAGGAAAAUGGGGAUUGCCCUUCUGGGACUGCGGAGAUCUGGGCUCGGAACUGUACCUCUGUUUGUAGCUUACGGAGUUGUCCCCAAACUGGCAUUUGACCUACCAGUGAGGUCAGAAGCAGCCUGUACAGCUUUAAAAAUCAUUUUACUUUUGAAAGCCUGAAUAUGAUUUAACUAAAUAGGGCUUUAGUGCUAAAGCAGCAAGGACCAUAAUCCUUGAGACAUUUAAGCAUAAAGCGUUUCAGCAUACAAAACCUAUUUAAAUAAUUUAUCAUUAGCCUAUGUGUUUACAGAAGAAAGCUUAACAAAAAUGUGUUGGUAACAAUACAAAAAAGGUCAUGGUGAUACUCACAAGUUUUUAUUCUUAAUCUACAAGACAGAAUCCAUUAAAAUCCAUCUUCAAAAUACUCUAGAUGCUUUGGAAGCAUGGCUUCCAAAAUACACAUGCAGCAUUCCGGAGAGUUACUUCUACUCUGAAAUCGAGCCCAGAAGACUGUUAACUGCUAGAUACAGGUGCUUUAUCUGGGUCAUGAGUUAUAUAUUAAAAAAGAGUUUCAAAAACACUUUUUGUUUCCAGGUCUGUUGCAAUUCAUGAUCAUACUUCAAAACCGCAGCAAUGAAGCCUUAGACAAGGCCUUCUUGAAUUGCCUAAUGCAUAAUAAUAAGAUAGAGAUACUACUUAAACUGUAUAAAAGUUCCACCAAAUUUAUUAAAAAUACCCACCUUUCAUAAUGUUUAAAUUAUCCAUUAGUUUUUCGCUUCAGCCAAAAGAUCGAUUUUGUCAUUCAGAACAUCCAGCCUGAAUUGCAUUUGCUCUUUGAAAAGCUGUGAUACAAAACAAAAUCUUUGUCCACAAUGGAGUCACUUUGCCUUCAGUGACACUGUAAUUUCACCCUUACUUAAUGGACCUGUAGAAUGACUGUGACGUUUGUGUUGAUUUUAAAUAGAUACAUUUUCAAAGAAGCAACAGCAGUGAUGGAGUUUUAUACCAACAAAAACACCAUGCAAAACUGCAGCAAACUGGGAGCACCCAUCACUUUUCUCUGCUGCUUAAUGUAUUAAAAAGGUAUCAGUAGUCAUAGUGGGCUUCAGUUAAAAAUUUCCAGCACUGGGUGGCAUGAGCAGAUUUUUCAUGCGUAAGUUUACGUGUUUGCUCUUGUAUAACUAUAUCCUUUUUAAAUAAGAAUCCAACAACUUGGUUACAGAAUGCUAAGGAAAUACAGUACAUUCUGUUUAAAUACUGUCAUUGACGAUUAAGACAUCUAAACAUCUAGCAUGUUUUCUCAAACUGUUUUUACUGCCUCAGAUCAAUAUCAAAUUGGUACAGCUAAUGAAGUAUCCUGUAGAAGUUUAAAAAAAAAAAAAAAGCACUUACUGGAAGCAACAAAGGAUCUGGUUUCAAAGAUAACGUUCAUUAAUGUUCUGUCUUACUCCAUAUGAAGUUUUUUGCAUGAUUAGUAUCGACUUCUAAAAUAACUAUAUUGUAAAUUAUUACUCAGUAAGAUUUUCUGAGUCCCAUCUGUGUUUGUUUUUAAUCACAUGGUUCCAGUGUAGUUAAUCCUGUUUUCUAUGCAGAAAUAGCAUCAUCCAAGAUAAAUAUCUGAUUACAAUAAUCUUACAAUUAAAUACAAAAACAGGAAGUAGAUAUACCUAAUCUUGAACUCUUUAUUUGAUAUAUUUAUUCACAUUUUCAUUUGCAGUAUUUAAAAUUAAAAAUUCUAUUAAAGAAUUCUCUCUAAUGUUUACUAUCUAUGGUGUAACUAUGUUGUGGAUGAAGAAAUCUUUAGUACAAAUUCUGGUGUCUUCUUGACUCUAUUGGUGCUGAUAAUCUUUUAUAUUAAGAUAAUGGGACCUUCAGACCCUUAAGGACUACGUAAGAUGAUGGGCAGAUGGAACAGAGGAUAGUUCCUACUCAGUUCCACAGACAAGGGAAGCUGCUGUCUUGUUUGGCUGUGUGAGCCAGCACGUCACUCAAGAUAAAAGCACAAGAUACACAUGCUGCAGUCCGAAGCAACUGUGUUACCAGUCUGCUGUUUCCAAAUCUCCUUUUUAUUCUAUAAGCUCCUCUGGCCAGAUGAUUACUUUCCUGACUGAAAGUUGCAAUACACUAAUACCGUUAGAUAGAUGAAAUCAAGAAAGUUCCUCGUCCAUUUUGGAACCCUGCACGUGGUCUGCGUCCAGAUGUGUCAUUCCGUGGGAAACUAGAAGAGGAAGUACGGUGUGAUGUCUGUAAAGAAUUGCACAUGGAUACAGUGAGUGCUCCUAGGAGUCCUACUAACAGAAUCGCGUGAGAUGCUGCUGUCUGUGCAAGGUAAAUGUCUGCCUUACAGAAGUCAUCAUAACUCCUCUGCAGUAUUAGGGCAUACAUAAAUGCUGGAACCGGAAUGAGUUUGGGCACUUCUCUUUGGAAUGGUUGUACUUUUGAUACAGUUUGUCUUUUGUCAAAGUUCUCCAUAACCGAUGAAUGGCAGGGUGGCAGAUCAGGAAGAGUAUUGAAGUCUACCACUGUCCCUUUUAGCUGUGGGGAAAGGAUGCUGACCUAGAAGAGCUGAGAACAAUGUAAGUUAAUCAUAAAAGGAAUUUACACUAUACAGGUAAGAAACUGGAUGUUUCCACGUUAGUGUAGUAGAAGGGUAGUGUAGCUUCUCAGAUACCAGCUCAGCUGUGAAUCAGUUUGGAGAACCUAUGGGUUAUAAAUCCUAAUUAAUUUUCCAAUUACUAUUUUGUAGUGUAAAUAAAAGGCAGUUGAUAGAUGAUCCAGAAGAAGUUUCAGACCUGAAAUUACGUGGCACCCAAACAGUUAAGUUUGCAGACGUUGGUAUCUACUGUCCAGUAAUUGAGUCAUACAGGUUAAAAAGCAUCAUGGAUACUGGCUAAACUCUGCACCUUGGCCACUGUGGCCAGAAAGCGCUUCCCUUUGCGUCUGUGUACCCAGAAACGCGCUUGGAGCCUUCUGAACGCGGACGGGGAAGAGAGAACGCACGCAGCGCUGGCGGCCACGAGCCUUCUCCGCCUCCUCCUCGCCCUUCUGCAGGGAUAACUGCCUUAACAUUGCACCUAUGACAACUCUCAAACGCUCUGAGAACCCAAAAGUUGAGUCCGAAAAGAUAAACCCUGGUCAGAUGGAAAGCCUUUGCCAGUAUAUUCAGUCAUAUUUACGUAGCUACUAACUAACGUACUUAAAAAAAAGUCACGGUAUGAAUUGUUCUCUGAGGAGGGCUCACACAGAGCGCCCUAGAGAGCUUAUCAUGCAACGUUUCAUUUCAAGUCUAAUGCAGUAUUUUAAAGUGAAACAGAAUAUAUACAAAAGCAAAACACACAAAACAAAAUAUAUACAAAAUAUAUCUUAAGGAUAUUAGUUAACUACUGCAGGAUAAAAAUAACAUGCCUGAUUGCAAAACCAAAUCAAAAAUAAAAACAGAAGUUGCUUUAUAAACAAGGCAUCAGGCAUUUUCUUAAAAAUACCACUGUUUUAACGUACUAUUCAUGGCUGUUAAGGGCUGUUAAAUUACCUACUAACCAUAUAUCACUGUUAGUGAACAGCAUGAACUUUAUAUUUAAAAGCAACAGUACAAGACAAUUUUGUCCCUCAGCAAUAGUUAAAAUUGAAACCAGGAGGCUUUUUUUUUAACAGACAAAUAGCCUUUACAGCAAGGAACUUGUUUCUCCUUGUUCACUGUCAUCUCAUGACUUACGUCAACUAGUAUGGAGGAAAGGUGAGAUCAGGUAUGAAGACCUGGUAUGUUUUUUGUAAUAUUUAUGAAUAACAGUGUAAUACAAUGAUUUUCUGUAAUAGUUUUAAAUAAGAUUCAAUUUUCCAAACACCUCUUAUCUCCUAAUAUGUAAACAAAUCUCUUCUUAUUCUGGUAAUGUGUGCAAUUUUAAAGAAAAUAUAGCACAAUGAAGACAGAUGAAUAUCCUGCUGUUCCACAUGCAACGAAUAUGAAUAAAAAUGGAAAACAACAUCAAGCAACAGUAACAAGCCUGCUAAUGCAACUGUCCGUAUUGUGAUUGUAUAAACUCCUCAGAUGAGGAAUAUUUACGUAUUGCAGUUACAAUCCCCCUAAUUGGUA